rnacentral:rRNA from 1 species
UAGUGGCGAACGGGUGAGUAACACGUGGGCAAUCUGCCCUUCACUCUGGGACAAGCCCUGGAAACGGGGUCUAAUACCGGAUAUCACUUCUGCAGGCAUCUGUGGGAGUUGAAAGCUCCGGCGGUGAAGGAUGAGCCCGCGGCCUAUCAGCUUGUUGGUGAGGUAAUGGCUCACCAAGGCGACGACGGGUAGCCGGCCUGAGAGGGCGACCGGCCACACUGGGACUGAGACACGGCCCAGACUCCUACGGGAGGCAGCAGUGGGGAAUAUUGCACAAUGGGCGAAAGCCUGAUGCAGCGACGCCGCGUGAGGGAUGACGGCCUUCGGGUUGUAAACCUCUUUCAGCAGGGAAGAAGCGAAAGUGACGGUACCUGCAGAAGAAGCGCCGGCUAACUACGUGCCAGCAGCCGCGGUAAUACGUAGGGCGCAAGCGUUGUCCGGAAUUAUUGGGCGUAAAGAGCUCGUAGGCGGCUUGUCACGUCGGGUGUGAAAGCCCGGGGCUUAACCCCGGGUCUGCAUUCGAUACGGGCUAGCUAGAGUGUGGUAGGGGAGAUCGGAUUUCCU